rnacentral:lncRNA from 1 species
AUGCCUGCCAUAGGUGUGGGCGAAACAUCAGGAGAGAAUGCUGCUUCUGGAAUGUGGCUAGGCAGCCCCAGAAAUGCACAGCAACCUGGUGAUUCCAGCCAUGAAAGCCUUUCAACAACACAGAGGUCUGAGAUUUUAUGCAACAGCCUCCUCCUCCUGCCAGAGAAAAGCCUUUCCCCGAAAAAGCACAGCCUGCACACAAGGAAGGAAGGAAAGAGCGUUUGCACUCUGCGCAUGCUCAGAGGGAGGCUUCCCACGCAAGGACAAAAGCGGGGGGAGAGAAGGAGCAAUGCGUGUCCUUGCCGUGUUCUGCCCCCCCCCCCAAAAUCCGCUCCCCAGGUCUGUACAUAAGUUUGUGUUGCAUGAGUCACGUUGUGUUUAUCCUCCUCCUCCUCCUCCAGAAGCCAAAGUGUAGCCCCCCCCCCUGACACCAGAGACAAGAGAGAGACCACCACCCUUUUCCCGGACAGUCCGUGGGUCACUGUGCCUGCCCCACGCCUUUUCCGUGGGGCUCCAUUUGCACACACACACACACACACACCACACACACACACAGAGUCACCUCGGCCUCGGUCCCACCUGCACACUUUCUGUCUCUUUUGAUUCUACUCUCGAUUAUUAUACCAAAGGAACCCAACGGUUAUUAUUAAAAGUGGGUAUUUCUGUAGCUGGCGGUUUCCGGGUUUUGUGCUUUGUGGGCAACCAAGGGGGGGGGUACGUUUAAGAGUGGAGAGGGGGGCACAAUUAUCAUUACCGUAAUAAUAAUAACAUAAUAAACUUUAUUUAUACCCCACCACCAUCUCCCCAACGGGGACUCAGGGCGGCUUACAUGGGGCCAUGCCCAGAACAAUCUAUAUAUAUAAAUGAGUGAUGGCAUCACGGCGACCCACAAAACAACAAAACUACAGGCCACGCAACCUCGAAAUUUGACAACACAACCCAUCAUCCACACCUCUAGGUUGAUACAACAAAAAGAAAAGAACAAUGAAGUCCUAAUUAGAGGGAGAGGAAUAAUUGUUUUUAUCCAAUUGCUGCCAGUUAGAGGACUAAUCUCUGCCUACUUGGGUCUCCUAGCAACCAACUCAGCCCAGGGGACAGGCACAGAUAGGCCUCUUCCACAGGUUAUCCGAUUUUAACUGGAUUAUAUGGCAGGGUAGACUUAAGGCCCUUCCACACAGCUAUUUAACCCAUUUAUAAUCUUAUAUUAUCUGCUUUGCACCUGGAAUU